UGGGUGGCGACCGGCGCACGGGUGAGUAACGCGUAUGCAACCUACCUAUCAGAGGGGAAUAACCCGGCGAAAGUCGGACUAAUACCGCAUAAAACAGGGGCACCGCAUGGUGAUAUUUGUUAAAGAAAUUCGCUGAUAGAUGGGCAUGCGUUCCAUUAGGUAGUUGGUGAGGUAACGGCUCACCAAGCCGACGAUGGAUAGGGGAACUGAGAGGUUGGUCCCCCACACUGGUACUGAGACACGGACCAGACUCCUACGGGAGGCAGCAGUGAGGAAUAUUGGUCAAUGGGCGGGAGCCUGAACCAGCCAAGUCGCGUGAAGGAAGAAGGAUCUAUGGUUCGUAAACUUCUUUUGCAGGGGAAUAAAGUGCAGGACGUGUCCCUGUUUUGU
rnacentral:rRNA from 1 species